rnacentral:rRNA from 1 species
AUGUGUGUUCCUAAGGAGCAAGGACGGAUGGGUUUUCGAGACAUACAUAGCUUUAACUUGGCUCAAUAAGCAAAGCAGGCUUGGAGAUUGAUUGAGCACAGUGACUCACUAUGUGACAGAGUUUUGAGAGCUAUGUACUAUUCUGAUGGAGUCAUUCUGAGUUGUGAAUUGAAAAAGGGGUCCUCGUAUAUUUGGAGGAGUAUAUGGGCAGGAGUUCAAACUUUUAAGUAG